CCUCCGCUGAUUCUCCUCCCUUCUUCCUGUUGAUCGCUGAUGUCCCAAAGGUUAGGACCUCUGCUCUUUUCCUUCUAUGAUCACUUAUUUAAGAAGCAAAUCUACUCAUUCCAUUUUCACUGAGAAACCUCCAUGCAAGCAGCUGACUGUGCCUUUCGGAAUGGUGGUCGUCCAGGACCCCAGCGAUUCACUUUUGAAACAUCAGCACUAGAAAGACGUUUUCCAGAACUGCAACUCUGAGAAGUAGGACUGGUGCAGUGUCCAUUUACAUGAUCUGUAACAAGAAUGGUGAUCUUCAGAAUCUUCCUAAAGCAAUUCAAAUGGAAACAAUUCAGCUUCCUGGCUUGGCGCUGGUAUACUGUUCAGUUUCACAGGCAUACAACAAUGAGCUAGCACUUCUAAUACAAUAUUGAAUAAUAGUUGCAGAAACGGAUAAGCUUGCUUCACCUCUGAACUUACUGGGAAAGUUUCUAGCUUAUAUCUAUUCCUGAUGGUUUUAGAUAAAUGCUACUUAACCAUUUUAAGAACUGACCUAACCAGCUGUCUUGUUUUAUCAUGGUGGCUAAAUAUUGUUCAAAAGUGUGGCGCUGAAAGAGCAAGAUGAUGGAAUUUCAAUACCGGAUGGCUUGCAGUCACAGAACAAUACCAGUACGAUACUGGUAUUCAAAAGAUGGGCCUUUGUUUCAGGAAGAAGUUUGUGCUCAUUGAAGAAUCCACACAAAUUCCCUAAGAAGAUUAAAAGCAACAGUCAACAAGGGGUGCUAGAGACAGACAUACUGACAGCAGCAAGACAUGACAUCUGACAGUGAAAGAGAAGACAGAAGAAAUAUAAAAAGCAAGCAGAAGAACUAUAGGGCCAUCAUUACCUAUGGCAGGUAGAAAAGCAAAAAGCACUGUACACCCAAUAUGAGGAGCCGAAGAGCAUCACUUUCUUACAGCAUAGUACAAUGAUCAUUGUUCAUAAUGUUGACCCUGAGUCAUCAAGAAAAGGUUAAAGUAUGUUCACCAUGCUCUGUUUAACAAGUCAAAAAAUAAAGUUCAGAAAACGUAA